rnacentral:rRNA from 1 species
UACGGAGGAUGCAAGCGUUGCUCGGAAUUAUUGGGCGUAAAGGGUAGGUAGGUGGUCUCAUUUGUCUGGGGUGAAAGCCUUGAGCUUAACUCAAGAAGUGCCCCAGAAACGGUGAGACUAGAGUCCUGGAGAGGGUCGUGGAAUUCCCGGUGUAGCGGUGAAAUGCGUAGAGAUCGGGAGGAACACCAGAGGCGAAGGCGGCGACCUGGACAGGUACUGACACUCAACUACGAAAGCGUGGGGAGCAAACAGG